rnacentral:lncRNA from 1 species
AUUCUACACCUACCAAUAAACAACAUGACGUUAUAUUUAAAAAUCUAUCAACUUACUUUUAGUGAAAAUUUGACUUCGACUUUUCAAAUUUUGUAUGUAGAGAAUUCAAUCAAUGUCGAGUUUAACAAAUAGAAAUUGGGAAAAAAUAUCUUUUAUAAAAUAAUAAAAAAGGUUCAAAAAUAAAUUUAACUAUUUAUAAUUAAAUAAUUGACAGUUGACGUUCUAUUUUUCUACGAUUUUUAUUAUUCUUAAAUUAAGUUCGAUUGGAUUAAAUUCUGGAUUAACAUGAAACUAAUUCAACACAAUCAUUAAUUGAGUUAGAAAAAAUUGACCGCAACCAGUCCAUUAUAAGUUAUAACCCAACUAAUCCAUCUAAAUUUCAUCCGAAAAAAUUGACUUAGAUUGAUCCCUUGCAUUAGAUUAAUGUUUUCGCACUAUUAGCCAAAUUUACAUGGAAACUCAUCAUUGAUAAAUUGACACGUGGCAUUUAUUGAUAGACAAUAUUCAGUUUUUGUAUCCUAAUUGUAAUAUUUAAUUAAUGAAAAUAUCACUAUCACUUGAGAAGAAAACAUCUUUGAGAUAUUAUUAUUAUUACUUGAAAAAUAUUAGUACUACAUUGAAUUGUGAAUGACUCAUUUAUCCAGAUUCUUCGUUUCCUCGUCGUCACGACGGAUGAAAACCUGAGGACAGACAAUUCCUGCUGGGCAUUCAAGUUUUAUAUUAGUUUUAAAUAAAAAGCGCCAGACAUUAAAACACCUCUCUGGCCUCUGCAACCAACAUCAACGGCUCCGGCUAUCAGAACUGCUUUAAAAUAGAAUAUGAUUAUAAUAUAUAUCCUUUAUUAUUAUUUAUCAACUUUACUGUGAGUAUCUAUAAUUUAUACUCUUAUUUUAAAAUAAUUCCAAAAUAACCAUUACCACCUUUAUAUUAUACAUAUUUUAACAGGAUUUCAGUUCAUCCAGGGGAUGAAACUGUGCAAGUGUGCAACAGCGCAUGAACCCUUUUGCUUUUCAAGCAAUUGUUACUCAUAAAAUUAUGUGAGAAGAAGACUUGGCAACACUGUCUUCUGUACAUCUAGUCUAUAAAAUUUUGAAACACAGCGACAUGCUUUCAUUAGAUGGUAACAUUAGGACUGCAUUCUCUUUGCUCGAUAUUAAUAUAUUAACAACAAGGCAAACCCUAUCUUACAUGCAUGUAAGAUACAUCCCCCUCACAUGAAUAGUGUAUGUGUGGGACCCACACACUAUUCAUGUGAGAGGAAUGUAUCUUACAUGCAUGUAAGAUAGAAGGACCCUAACAACAAUACUAUCAUAGCAUUCUUACCUGUGGUCAUGGCUCUGCUUGUACAGUUUGGACAACCUGCAAAAUAUAUACUCCUAUGAAAAGGCCUAGAUAUGCAACUAGGGCAGCUGCCAGCCAUUUAGGUAUGUAAAUACUAAAUAGCUUGCACUGACUAGAAUCAUUUUUUUUAUUGAAGCAUCACGUCACUAGGAGCAUAUCCCUAACAAACCGCAAGUUGUACCAUAAUCUGUCUCAUACUUGGAAGCCACCACAACACCCGCAAAGUGUAGUAAGACGAUGACAGUAAUGUACAUGAAAUCCAAAUUUAGAUCAUAGUUUUGUUUUUUUAUAUCUAAAAUAAAUAAAAAAGUACAAACAUCUAAAUGAUAUAUUUAUUUUUUUUAAUAUAUGAAUAUAAAUGACAUCUUACUUAUUUUUAUAAAUAAAAAGCAUCUUAACCAUAAUUAUUUAACAUUUAUGUACUUACAAAUAAAUAAAUAAAAAAGUAACUAAGUUUUACUAUUUAGAAAAUAAGUAUAUUUUACACAAAUAUUUUUAGAAUACAAGAAUUACUUCUU